GAAAUGCGAUAAGUAAUGUGAAUUGCAGAAUUCAGUGAAUCAUCGAAUCUUUGAACGCACAUUGCGCCCGCCAGUAUUCUGGCGGGCAUGCCUGUCCGAGCGUCAUUUCAACCAUCAAGCCCCCGGGCUUGUGUUGGGGACCUGCGGCUGCCCGCAGGCCCUGAAAACCAGUGGCGGGCUCGCUGUCACACCGAGCGUAGUAGCAAUCACCUCGCUCAGGGCGUGCUGCGGGUUCCGGCCGUUAAACAGCCUUAGAAAACCCAAGGUUGACCUCGGAUCAGGUAGGAAGACCCGCUGAACUUAAGC
rnacentral:misc_RNA from 1 species